AAGAAAAAAGAAAGUAGCAAAGACCUGUGAGAAAAGACGAGAGAGAGAGAGAGAGAGAGAGAGAGAGAGAGAGAGAGAAAGAGUGAGAGGGGGAGAGAGAGAGAGAGAGAGAGAGAGAGAAUAUCAUUUCACAGAUUAAACACGCGCCCGAGUAUCGUCUUUUAUAAGACUAGAAAAAAAAAAAAAAAAAAAAAAAAAAAUCAACGUGCUGCCUUUCAAAUGAAAUAAUUAAAAAACAAUGGGAGGUAUAAAAGGAAAUGAUGGUUGGGAUGUAAGAUGGUGGUGAUGAUGUUGAGACAGAAAGAAAAACAAAAGGAAUGUUGCAAUUGAAUGAAUUUAUACCGCUAAUUUCCGAGGAUUUCAAAACAAAUAAUAAAGUUCAGAUCAUUAGGCGGCCCAUAACGUCGUACCCACGUAGCUAUGCGAGAGCGUAAAAGGAUUAAAAAUAAUAAUAAUAAAAAAGAAUAAAAAAAAAAAAAAAAAAAAAAAAAAAAAAAAAAAAAAAAAAAAAAAAAAAAAAAAAACUAAAAGGAAGACGAGAACGAGACGAAAAAAGAAAAAAACGAAAAAAAAAAAAACAAAAACAAAGAAAGCAAAAAAAGGAAAGAAUCGGAAAAAGGAUCGACGAAAAAAAAUGUCUUCGAAAUCCAUUGAGAAAUUAUGAAGAGGAGAAAGAAUUUAAGGAGAAGGUAAACACAAAAACAAAAAAAGAAACGAACAAAUCAAUAAACAAACAAACAAACAAACAAAGAAACAAUUAAUAAAUCGAUAAAUUUAUUAAUACGACGAUUAGGUAUCAUUAUGAUCGUGGAUGGUGUGUGUGUGAGAGAUCAUAUGAUUAAAUAUUAUAUACUCUCGAGUGAUCUUUCCGUUUUGUUGUAUCCUACAUAGGGAUUUUUGUUUAACCAAAUGUACAAAUAUAACAGUACGUAAGAAGAAGAGAGAAAGUAUGAGUAUGAGAAUGAGAGAGAGAGAGAGAGAGAGAGAGAGAGAGAGAGAGAGAGAGAGAGAGAG